UACAGAGGGGGCAAGCGUUGUUCGGAAUUACUGGGCGUAAAGGGCGCGUAGGCGGCCUUCUAAGUCGAACGUGAAAUCCCUGGGCUCAACCCAGGAACUGCGUCCGAUACUGGAAGGCUUGAAUCCGGGAGAGGGAUGCGGAAUUCCUGGUGUAGCGGUGGAAUGCGCAGAUAUCAGGAGGAACACCUAAGGCGAAGGCAGCUCGCUGGAACGGUACUGACGCUGAGGCGCGAAAGCGUGGGGAGCAAACAGG
rnacentral:rRNA from 1 species